AUUGAACGCUGGCGGCAGGCUUAACACAUGCAAGUCGAACGAGUGGCGGUCGGGUGAGUAAUGCUUGGGAAUCUAGCUUAUGGAGGGGGAUAACUACGGGAAACUGUAGCUAAUACCGCGUACCAUAGGAUGAGCCAAAGUUGGAUGAGGUAGUUGGUGAGGUAAAGGCUCACCAAGCCGACGAUCUCUAGCUGGUCUGAGAGGAUGACCAUCCACACUGGGACUGAGAUAAGGCCCCGACCUCGACGGGAGGCACCAGGGGGGAAUAGUGCGCAAGUGGGGCAACGUGACGUAGCCAUGCCGCGUGAAUGAAGAAGGCCUUCGGGUUGUAAAGUUCUUUCGGUAGCGAGGCGUUAACUACAGAAGAAGCACCGGCUAACUCCGUGCCAGCAGCCGCGGUAAUAC
rnacentral:rRNA from 1 species